AAAUUACAAAAGCAGAUGAGCAAUGAAACCGAAUCCAAGCCACAAAUAACUGUCGCCAUUUUCAUACCAACAACUUCCGCUCUCUCUCUCUCUCUCUCUCACCUACCUUCCAAUCCAUGACCAGAACUUCUCACACUCAGAAACGGCAAUGUCUCAUCCUCUUCAAUUUCCACUCUACACUUCGUCUCCAGGGCCUGAUUAUCUCCUCCUCUCUCCCUCUCCAUUCCAAUCUCCUUCUCCAAUUUUCAUCUACAAGACGAAGAUUCCACUGUUCCCAAUCGCGUUUAAGGUAUCUUCGAGAGUUAGGUGCUUGACCAAGCCGUCUACUCAAGAAGAUCGCUGGAAUGAACCGGAGACUUUGGUACCUGAUGACGGUGAUGGUGUAGAAGCAUUGAGAGAGAACGCGAAAGUCCAACACCACCAGCGAGAUAGAAUUGCCACUUCGAAUGGUGAUUCUCUCUCGCUUGGGAUUCGCGAGCCGGUUUAUGAGGUUGUAGAAGUGAAGUCAAAUGGGAUGCUAUCUACAAGGAAAAUAAACAGACGCCAAUUAUUGAAGUCAAGUGGUCUUCGCCCACGAGAUAUCCGGAGUGUUGAUCCAUCAUUGUUUUUGACAAAUUCAAUGCCCUCUUUACUGGUUCGUGAGCAUGCUAUAUUGCUAAAUCUGGGCUCAUUGCGAGCAAUAGCAAUGCAAGAGCGCAUCCUUAUAUUUGACUACAACCGUAAAGGAGGGAAAGCUUUUAUAGACACGUUAUUACCUCGAUUAAAUCCCAGAAAUAUCAACGGAGGGCCCUGCAUGCCAUUUGAGCUUGAGGUCGUUGAGGCAGCAUUGCUUUCAAGAGUACAGCGAUUGGAGCAGAGACUAAUGACUAUUGAACCUCGUGUUCAAGCUCUUCUUGAAGUUUUACACAACAGGUUAACUGCUGACAUUUUAGAGGAACUCCGUAUUAGCAAGCAAGCAUUGGUUGAAUUAGGUUCAAGGGCAGGAGCUCUUAGACAUAUGUUGCUUGAUCUUUUGGAGGAUCCACAUGAAAUACGCCGUAUAUGUAUAAUGGGAAGAAAUUGCACUCUUGUAAAGGGAAAUGAUAAUGUGGAAUGCUCUGUUCCCCUAGAAAAGCAGAUUGCUGAGGAGGAAGAGGAAGAAAUUGAGAUGCUUUUGGAAAAUUAUCUUCAAAGAUGUGAAUCUUGUCAUGGUCAGGCAGAACGACUUCUUGAUUCUGCAAAAGAAAUGGAAGAUUCAAUUGCUGUCCAUUUAAGCUCUCGGAGGCUUGAAGUGAGCAGAGUGGAAUUACUUCUUCAGGUUGGGACAUUUUGUGUGGCAGUUGGUGCUCUAGUUGCAGGUAUAUUUGGCAUGAACUUGAAGUCCUAUCUUGAAGAGCACGUGUUUGCCUUUUGGCUGACAACAGCUGGGAUAAUUGUCGGUGCUGUUGCGGCAUUUUUUUUAGUUUAUUGGUAUCUCAGGGCUAGGAAAGUACUGUAAUUUAACAACAAUUUGAGUUAGCUCAUUAGUGAAGAUUAUCAAUUAUUGGAGGUGAUUUCAAAGGUUAAGCAUACGUGGCCAAUUAAUUUUGGUUGAUCACUUACAAGGGCCACUUAAUGGUGUUUGAAAUAUAUAGUCCAAUUUUUAUUGGGAGUCAUGUUUCACCUACAAAAUCUGCAAGAGUGGAGCUUCAAUGCUUUCAUAUGUGCUUGAGAAAACGAUUGAGGUUCCAUGUUUUCUUGAAGGAAAUUGUUUGGUCAUUGUGGCAGUGGAACAAAACUUGCUAUUCAAGAGUAUGUUAGCAUUUUGCAACUUCAUCAUUUCUUAGCUCAAACAGAGACAUCUUAGAGAAGUUGGCCAUCUCUCUCUCUCUCUCUCUCUCUCUCUCUUGGAUGUAAUUGCACUAAGUUUAGGUCAGUAGAAGCAGAAUCAAUUGAGUCGUGAAAUUUUAACUUUAAAUUAAAUUAGUCUAAAUAUUAAAAAAGGUAAUCGGACAUUUAAUUAUGAGUCCUGAUUAAUGACUAAUCUAUUAUUAAUUUGAAGGAGGACUUCGUUUUUGCUUUGA